GACGAACGCUGGCGGCGUGCUUAACACAUGCAAGUCGAACGGAAAGGCCCUGCUUUUGUGGGGUGCUCGAGUGGCGAACGGGUGAGUAACACGUGAGUAACCUGCCCUUGACUUUGGGAUGACUUCAGGAAACUGGGGCUAAUACCGGAUAGGAGCUCCUGCUGCAUGGUGGGGGUUGGAAAGUUUCGGCGGUUGGGGAUGGACUCGCGGCUUAUCAGCUUGUUGGUGGGGUAGUGGCUUACCAAGGCUUUGACGGGUAGCCGGCCUGAGAGGGUGACCGGCCACAUUGGGACUGAGAUACGGCCCAGACUCCUACGGGAGGCAGCAGUGGGGAAUAUUGCACAACGGGCGGAAGCCUGAUGCAGCAACGCCGCGUGCGGGAUGACGGCCUUCGGGUUGUAAACCGCUUUCGCCUGUGACGAAGCGUGAGUGACGGUAAUGGGUAAAGAAGCACCGGCUAACUACGUGCCAGCAGCCGCGGUGAUACGUAGGGUGCGAGCGUUGUCCGGGUUUAUUGGGCGUAAAGGGCUCGUAGGUGGUUGAUCGCGUCGGAAGUGUAAUCUUGGGGCUUAACCCUGAGCGUGCUUUCGAUACGGGUUGACUUGAGGAAGGUAGGGGAGAAUGGAAUUCCUGGUGGAGCGGUGGAAUGCGCAGAUAUCAGGAGGAACACCAGUGGCGAAGGCGGUUCUCUGGGCCUUUCCUGACGCUGAGGAGCGAAAGCGUGGGGAGCGAACAGGCUUAGAUACCCUGGUAGUCCACGCUGUAAACGGUGGGUACUAGGUGUGGGGUCCAUUCCACGGGUUCCGUGCCGUAGCUAACGCUUUAAGUACCCCGCCUGGGGAGUACGGCCGCAAGGCUAAAACUCAAAGGAAUCGACGGGGCCCCGCACAAGCGGCGGAGCAUGCGGAUUAAUUCGAUGCAACGCGUAGAACCUUACCUGGGUUUGACAUGGAUCGGGAGUGCUCAGAGAUGGGUGUGCCUCUUUUGGGGUCGGUUCACAGGUGGUGCAUGGCUGUCGUCAGCUCGUGUCGUGAGAUGUUGGGUUAAGUCCCGCAACGAGCGCAACCCUUGUUCACUGUUGCCAGCACGUUAUGGUGGGGACUCAGUGGAGACCGCCGGGGUCAACUCGGAGGAGGGUGGGGAUGACGUCAAGUCAUCAUGCCCCUUAUGUCCAGGGCUUCACGCAUGCUACAAUGGCUGGUACAGAGAGUGGCGAGCCUGUGAGGGUGAGCGAAUCUCGGAAAGCCGGUCUCAGUUCGGAUUGGGGUCUGCAACUCGACCUCAUGAAGUCGGAGUCGCUAGUAAUCGCAGAUCAGCAACGCUGCGGUGAAUACGUUCCCGGGGCU
rnacentral:rRNA from 1 species